GAUGAACGCUGGCGGCGUGCCUAAUACAUGCAAGUAGAACGCUGAAGGAAGGAGCUUGCUCUUUCCGGGUGAGUUGCGAACGGGUGAGUAACGCGUAGGUAACCUGCCUGGUAGCGGGGGAUAACUAUUGGAAACGAUAGCUAAUACCGCAUAACAGUAGAUGUUGCAUGAUAUCUACUUAAAAGGUGCAAUUGCACCACUACCAGAUGGACCUGCGUUGUAUUAGCUAGUUGGUGAGGUAACGGCUCACCAAGGCGACGAUACAUAGCCGACCUGAGAGGGUGAUCGGCCACACUGGGACUGAGACACGGCCCAGACGCCUACGGGAGGCAGCAGUAGGGAAUCUUCGGCAAUGGACGGAAGUCUGACCGAGCAACGCCGCGUGAGUGAAGAAGGUUUUCGGAUCGUAAAGCUCUGUUGUAAGAGAAGAACGAGUGUGAGAGUGGAAAGUUCACACUGUGACGGUAUCUUACCAGAAAGGGACGGCUAACUACGUG
rnacentral:rRNA from 1 species